CGGCGGUGGAGCCCAACUGGCCAGAGGAGGCAGAACGGUUGGCGGCUGGAGGCUGUGGGAGUUGGAGUUGAUAGAGAGCGUUUCCCGGUGCUUCACGUGGCAGAUGCCACAUUUGCAGGUCCAGAGAGGUGAUGUGAGGCACUGGCGCAGGUGAAGCCUGAGCAGAACCCCAAAGCUGGAACUUCGGCUUAUUUACUCUUUAUCAGUUUAUGCCUCACGUAUUUUGAUGCUCCAUUGUUGGGUGCACACACAACAAGGAUUAUCCUGUUUUCUUGGAGUAAAGAACUAUGAUCAGUAUGUACAACUCCUCUUUGUCUCUCAUGACAACAUUGGAGGGGAACCAGAAAAUCAUUAUGUCCGACCAACAUGACCAAGAUAGGGUAGAAAAGGGAGGUCACUAGGAAAGAUCUGGGAAGAGGCAAAAACUGCUUAGGUCUUUGCCUACAUGGAAGGAGAACAAAUGACAACUAGUGUUUAUGGAGAGCCCUUGAGGCCGAAACCUAUAUAAGCCUCUGUCUGGGCCUGGGUCUUUGGUCGUUACAUCCGAGGAAGCUCUUUUGGUGACCUGUGAACUUGACUUCAGAUAAUGUGUUUCCUUGAUCGUAAUUCUUACAGUUAUCCCAGUGAGUAGUUUAGCAUAGGGUAGAUAGUAUUCUUAGUGUUGUGUUAUUUUUUUUAGCAUAAAUUCACAUAUUAUUUUUAUCCUAGUUAGGUUUCAUUAGUAGUGUUAGCCUAUUUAGUGCCCCAGUUAGUAUAGUUUAAGUGUUCCUAGCAUAGUAAGUAUUAGUUGUUGUUGUUGAUUAUUUAUUUAGUGUAGCUUAUCUAGCGUAGUGCUAGAGUAGUCAGGCUCCCCAUGGCACCUGACUGGGGACACUGGGGUGGCCUCUGUGUCUCUGGACAAGGAGGUCCUCCAGGACUAUGAGUUCUUGAAGACCCUUGGCCGGGGCAGCUUCGGCGAGGUGAAGCUGGCUCGGCACCUUCCAACCGGGACCAAGGUGAUGGUGAAGAUCAUCAGCAAACACCGUGCUUGUGCGUCUUUGGAGCCUGAGAUCAUGAACUCCUUGGAUCAUCUCAACAUCAUUAAGCUGGUGGAGGAGGUUAUAGCGGGUAAGGAUCUGUUAUACCUAAUAAUGGAACAUGCAGGUGGUAGUGACCUGGCUGACAGAAUAGACACAUCUGGCCAGAUGGAGGAAGGGGAGGCCCGAGCCAUAUUCUUGCAGAUCCUGAAAGCCGUGGAGUACGGCCCUCAUGAAGAGGGCAUCUUGCAUCCCCCGUGGGGAUCUGAAGCUUGACAACAUUUUAUUGGAUUCACAAAAUAAUGUGAAACUAGCUGACUUUGGCUUGGCCACAACCUUCACCGAAGUUGAGACAUUCACAAAAUUUUGUGGCACACCUGGGUAUUUGGCCCCAGAUGUUCUCCUACGGGAGAACUACAAAGGACUAGAGGCAGAAAUCUGGAGCCUUGGCUUCAUACUCUAUACAGUGGCUGCCAGGACCACUCCAUUUUUCAGAAGGGACUCGAAGGAACUAAAAAGGUCAGUCUUAAACACCACCUAUAUGACACCUGCUUUCACUACCCCCAAAUUAAAAUCCUUUAUCCAAAAGAUCCUAAACCCUGACCCCAGCAAGAGCCCCACCCUCCACCAGAUGAUGGAAGACCCCUGGAUGUCUGGGCAAGACAGCUGGAGGCCACACACAAUAGCGACAGAUAACCCACCAGAGACCGCCACUGCACCAAUUCCCAGUCCCAGUUGUGCUCGCCAGCCUGGUCCAGUUUCCUCUCCCUCCCCCAGCACCAGCAGACUUAGGGGAGGCCCAGAAGGAGACAUGGGAGCUCAGGCAAGUCCCAGACAAGACCACGUCCUCCCGGGUGGGCCGGUAGUGGAGGAGGACAGCACUAAAGUGGUCCAGGGCCGGCGGGGGUGCACUAGGAGGAUUGCGAAUAUUUUUGCAAAGUGUUCUGCCUCCUGCUGGCCCAGAAGAUCUGCCAGCUGAACAAGGUGGUGCCUGUAACCAGCCUGGAGACCUGAGGCCCAGACAAGCCAGUGUGGGAUGGCCAAGUUCCUCCUUUCAUGUCUUACAUUUUUAUUGGAUUUUCAAUAAAGAAAU